UGGAAGUUUAAGAUCAAAGUGCUGGUGAAUUCUGUUUCUGGUGAAGACCUGCUUCCUGGCUUACAGACAGCUACCAUCUCCCUGUGUGCUCACAUGACCUCUUUGUCUGAGCAAACACAAGCCAUCCUUGAGUUCCUGGUUCUGACUUCUUUGAAGACCAAGUCACCGUUUCCUUCAGCUUGAGACAAUGUUUCAGGUGAUAAGAAAAGACAAACUAUCAGAAACCCCAGAGGUGCCAAUUACCCACUUUUUUCAUGCUAACAACUUGCAUUUCUACUCAUUGGUUUAUACAAGCGUAACCAUCUCUUUCUCUUA